UUCCAACAGUAGUGAUUAAUAUUGACAUAAUAGAAGUAAGUGGAUCGAUCAAGUAUCCGAAUUCUAAAGAAAAAUCAUUAUUUAUAAUCCAAGACCAUACAUAUUGAUAGACAGAACUGCUAUUUAUUUGCUGAAUAGACAGAUUCAGAGAAAAAAUCAUGACUAUACUUAACAAUAAAACGCUCUGAAAAGCCCACAUACGACGAAGACUUUUUGUUGCCGUCGGAAAAAGAAGAAGUCCCAACCCUAUUAACAUAGGAACUGGAAGUGGAAGAAAAGGUAUUAUCCACGCAUAUUGAUAUGUCUGUUCCAUAAAAAAAGUUUUUUAUUCUUAAUUAAUUGUUUUCGAUUCACCGGAUCUUACCUCUUUCGAAAAAAGUCAAUAAAAAAUCAAGAUAUGCACUAACUUAUUGAAUAAUUUUAUAUUAGUAUUUAUUCUGAGUCUUUUCAAAAUCGUUCAAAUAUUCAAAACAAGAAGUUACAGUUGGUCAAAUGAUAUUACUAAGUGACAUAUAAAAACGAAUACUUAUAAUAGGAAAAUGAAAAUAUAGCAAGGAUAAAAAUUUAGGCUAAAAAGAAUACUUUAUCCUGAUAUGAAUUAUAGGAUUAACUAAGGGCAUUGGUCUAAUGAAAAAACCUCUUGAUUUUCGUUAGUUUAUUUAAACUCAUUAACUAAUUCAUUAUGGGAUUGAUUGUUUUCUAUUUCAAUCAAAACAAUUUAUUAACUCCAUUUAUUAGGCAAAAGUUUACAAUCCUUUGAGGUAUUUUAUUACAUGUAAAUAAAGUAUAGAAUAAGGAAAAUAAAGGGUUUUUAGGUUAUUUAUUUCUUUUAUUAAGUUUGAUUUAGCAGAUUCUAAAGAUAGAACUUUGAGAGAUAAACAACGAGAACUAAAAGUUCCAAAACAAAAUUUUUUUUAUUUCGAGUAAUUUUUGAUCCAAUUUUAACGGAUAUUUGACAUAUCUAUAUUUCUUUUUUAUGAAGAAAAUCUUAUUUAGAUAUAUGAAGAGAAUCUUUUUUAGAUAAAAAAUAUAUAAUGAAUAAGAAAUAAGAAUUCGUUUUGAACAAUAGAUGUCUUUCACAUCCAACUAUAACAAUGAGUAACUUUUAAAUGGCAGUUCCAAAAAAACGUACUUCGACAUCAAAAAAGCGUAUUCGUAAAAAUAUUUGGAAAAGGAAAGGAUAUGGGGCGGCGUUAAAAGCUUUGCAUUAGGGAAAUCUCUUUCUACCGGGAGUUCAAAAAGUUUUUUUGUACGACAAACAAAUAAGUCCUAAAAUAUCUGAAUAAUCAGAUCAAAAAAUCGGCUCAUUAAUUUGUUAAUAUCAAAGUGAAUAUAAAAUGAAUAAUUGGCAGUACCUAUUCUAAUCAAUAUGAACUCAAUAUGAAAUAGACCCUUAAUUUGAAUUUUAUAAAAGAAUUCUUCUGUUUUCUGAAUUCUAAAAAAAAAAAGAAGA
rnacentral:lncRNA from 1 species